rnacentral:rRNA from 1 species
AUGUAGCAAUACAUGGCGUACUGCUCAGUAACACGUGGAUAACCUACCCUUGAGAUGGGAAUAAACCCGGGAACUGGGUAUAAUACCCGAUAGAUCUCGACUGCUGGAAUGCAUCGAGAUCCAAAGCUUUGGCGCUCAAGGAUGGAUCUGCGGCCUAUCAGGUAGUAGUGGGUGUAGCGUACCUACUAGCCUACGACGGGUACGGGUUGUGAGAGCAAGAGCCCGGAGAUGGAUUCUGAGACACGAAUCCAGGCCCUACGGGGUGCAGCAGGCGCGAAAACUUUACAAUGCUGGAAACAGCGAUAAGGGGACCUCGAGUGCCAGGUUACAAAUCUGGCUGUCGUGAUGCCUAAAAAGCAUUGCAUAGCAAGGGCCGGGCAAGAUCGGUGCCAGCCGCCGCGGUAACACCGGCGGCUCGAGUGGUAACCGUUAUUAUUGGGUCUAAAGGGUCUGUAGCCGGCCGGAUAAGUCUCUUGGGAAAUCUGGCAGCUUAACUGUCAGGCUUUCAGGAGAUACUGUCUGGCUCGAGGCCGGGAGAGGUGAGAGGUACUUCAGGGGUAGGGGUGAAAUCUUGUAAUCCUUGAAGGACCACCAGUGGCGAAGGCGUCUCACCAGAACGGACCUGACGGCAAGGGACGAAAGCUAGGGGCACGAACCGGAUUAGAUACCCGGGUAGUCCUAGCCGUAAACGAUACUCGCUAGGUGUCGGCAACGGUGCGACCGUUGUCGGUGCCGUAGGGAAGCCGUGAAGCGAGCCACCUGGGAAGUACGGCCGCAAGGCUGAAACUUAAAGGAAUUGGCGGGGGAGCACCACAACGGGUGGAGCUUGCGGUUUAAUUGGAUUCAACGCCGGAAAUCUUACCGGGACCGACAGCAAUAUGAAGGCCAGGCUGAAGACUUUGCCGGAUUAGCUGAGAGGUGGUGCAUGGCCGUCGUCAGUUCGUACUGUGAAGCAUCCUGUUAAGUCAGGCAACGAGCGAGACCCACGCCCACAGUUGCCAGCGUACUCUUUGGAGUG